rnacentral:rRNA from 1 species
GAUGAACGCUAGCGAUAGGCUUAACACAUGCAAGUCGAGCGGCAGCACAAGGGCGUUUGUUACCUGGGUGGCGACCGGCCCACGGGAGCGUAACGCGUAUGCAACUUGCCCUAUACAGGAGGAUAACCAGACGAAAUACGGACUAAUACUGAGAAUGCUCACAACUUGGCAUCAAGUGGUGAGGAAAGAAAUUCGGUAUAGGAUAGGCAUGCGUCCCAUCAGCUUGUUGGUGAGGUAACGGCUCACCAAGGCAACGAUGGGUAGGGGAACUGAGAGAUUUAUCCCCGACACUGGUACUGAGACACGGACCAGACGCCUACGAGAGGCAGCAGUGAGGAAUAGGGGGCAAUGGGCGCGAGCCUGAACCAGCCAAGUCGCGUGAAAGAUGACUGUCUUGUGGAUUGUAAACUUCUUUUAUGCGUGAAUAACAAGAGUCACGGGUGACUCCCUGCAGGUACCGUAUGAAUAAGCAUCGGCUAACUCCGUG